rnacentral:rRNA from 1 species
GUGCCUACGGGACGCAGCAGUAGGGAAUCUUCCACAAUGGGCGAAAGCCUGAUGGAGCAACGCCGCGUGGGUGAAGAAGGUCUUCGGAUCGUAAAACCCUGUUGUUAGAGAAGAAAGUGCGUGAGAGUAACUGUUCACGUUUCGACGGUAUCUAACCAGAAAGCCACGGCUAACUACGUGCCAGCAGCCGCGGUACUACGUAGGCGGCAAGCGUUAUCCGGAUUUAUUGGGCGUGAAGGGAACGCCGGUGGUCUUUUAAGUCUGAUGUGAAAGCCUUCGGCUUAACCGGAGUCGUGCAUUGGAAA